UCCGCGGUAGCUCAACAGGCAGAGCGGCGGGCUGUUAACCCGCAGGUCGCAGGUUCGAGUCCUGCCCGCGGAGCCA
rnacentral:tRNA from 1 species